ACAAGAGUUACCACAGAUGCCAAGCGACCAAUCAAAGGAGAGAAAGAAAAACGUUCACGCUACGCUACCAAUAUUUUGAAUGGUUAUUUGGAGUAAAACAUAGGACAAACAAUCUGAAAGAACGCUCUGAUGUUUAUAUGCAGUUAACGUUAUUUAUGGAAACAGCAGGUUGAAGAGUCUAUUUUACACAAACACCCUGUUGGCGUAUCUAAAGGCUUUUGCAUCGUUACAGAAAACUUUAUCGUUAACUUGCCUGGAUUCUCAGCUGACGACCAACGAACGCGUUCAAGAUGGCGGCGAGGUUUUCACGAGGACAGACGAAACACUGGAACGGAUUACUACAGGAUUCUCAUCAGAACGGCGUUACAUCUGCUUCCCUCACCUCAUCUCCCCUGGCGCUCAAUAACAGCUUCAUUGCGGGUUUGCAGCAGCCUCUGGAUUGUGUCUCUGAUUUUGCAAGUCUCUAGAGGCCUAAACUAUAGACUUCCUUUUGACCCCCUUUUCCUCUGCUCCUUAAAAACUGCCCCACCCAUCCCAGAAUUCAUCUGCUGGGACUGACAGACCUAAAGACCCAGCCAAAACAAGCGCUCUCUGUAUGCGAGUCCCAGGUUUUCUUCCUGUGAGCACUUAACCUCCAAUGCACAAUAUGAGCCUAUGUGCUCUACAUCUGUAUAAUGACACACAUGGCGAUCUGUUAUUCUUCCCCCAUAAUGACCAGGACCCCAGAUUAGACCUCUAAACAUCGGCUGCCUCCUUAAAAGCCAUUUAUUUUCUCUUUAGUCUAGCUGCUGUGCUGAUUUUUAACACUAAGGAUGUGUUGUUUGCUUUAGGCUUUUACUUCUGGGCCUUUGCUUUUUUGUAAUGUCACCUUACUAUCGUGUAUGUGUGUAAAUGUUGGCUUGCUUUGCUUGGGAAACUAAACACAGCUGUCCAAUCUAUGAGUAUUUUUUUUUCCCCCACUGCCUCCAUCAGAAAUUUUUUGAAAAUAAAUUUUAUUUUAUUUUACU
rnacentral:lncRNA from 1 species